rnacentral:lncRNA from 1 species
UUUACUCGACUUUAGAUGGUUUAGAUGGUAUCUGUUUACUCACUGGGAUUUUAUAAUCUCACCACCUUCAAUUCCCUACAUUUCAGGCUCGGGAUAGCUGGUAGAUAGUCGAUUGCAUCAAGGACUUCAGUUAGCCUUGCAUCGACAAAAUUGUAGGUUCACAGACUCACACCUUAUUGGUUAGUUGGGGGCCCACGUGUCACUGUAAAAGUAAUUUUAUAUUUCAGUUAUCUGCUUUAAAGUAUGUAUGAAUAUAUUUAGCUUUUACACUACAGAAAUUAAAUUACAGAUUUCUCUAUAAAUAUUAUUUUUUUAUUUAGAAAAUAAAAUAUUUUAUUAAAUAUUAUUAUUUUAUUCAAACAAUUAUAAUUUCAUUUCAAAUAAUUAUUUUAGACAUCUAAAUUUACUUUUAAUUAUGAA